rnacentral:rRNA from 1 species
UACGGGGGGAGCAAGCGUUGUUCGGAUUUACUGGGCGUAAAGGGCGCGUAGGCGGUCACUACAAGUCACUUGUGAAAUCUCCGGGCUUAACUCGGAACGGUCAAGUGAUACUGUCGGACUAGAGUACAGAAGGGGCAACUGGAAUUCUCGGUGUAGCGGUGAAAUGCGUAGAUAUCGAGAGGAACACCUGCGGCGAAGGCGGGUUGCUGGGCUGAUACUGACGCUGAGGCGCGAAAGCCAGGGGAGCGAACGGG